CCUACGGGAGGCAGCAGUGAGGAAUAUUGGUCAAUGGGCGCGAGCCUGAACCAGCCAAGUAGCGUGAAGGAUGACUGCCCUACGGGUUGUAAACUUCUUUUAUAAAGGAAUAAAGUGAGGCACGUGUGCCUUGUUGUAUGUACUUUAUGAAUAAGCAUCGGCUAACUCCGUGCCAGCAGCCGCGGUAAUACGGAGGAUCCGAGCGUUAUCCGGAUUUAUUGGGUUUAAAGGGAGCGUAGGUGGGUUUUUAAGUAAGUUGUUAAAGUUUGCGGCUUAACCGUAAAAUUGCAAUUGAUACUGGAAGUCUUGAGUACAGGUGAGGUAGGCGGAAUACGUUGAGUAGCGGUGAAAUGCUUAGAUAUCACGAAGAACUCCGAUAGCGAAGGCAGCUUACUAAACUGCCACUGACAUUGAUGCUCGAAAGUGUGGGUAGCAAACAGGAUUAGAUACCCGUGUAGUC
rnacentral:rRNA from 1 species